GGAUCUUGCCUAGGAAUAAUUUGCAACCACUCCGUCUCCCCCUACCCUAAACCCAAAUUGCCAGGCGGGGGUUGUUUUGGAGAAGAUUGACGGCGUUUCUUCUUCUUCUUAUAUUUUUUUUCUUCCCCCACUCGGAGAUGAAAGAACCAGGACCCGGAGAAUCGAAUUCACUUUUUCCACGUCGCUCACUGCUCAGUGGCCAUGCUGGUCACGUGUGUGUUGGUGACAACCUUCUCACUGUGUCCUCAUGUGGCCUCUUCUCAGUGAACACACUCCGGGAGAUUUUUUUACCACCUCCAGGCAUCUCUGUUCCUCCUCUGCUCUGGAGUCCACACUGCCUCCCUAGUGCCAUAGCAUCAAGUUCAGACUCCUUCCCCUGGUGUCUUCUCUGCAGAAAAUGAGCUCAUCUGUCUUCUGAUAGGGGUAACUAACCCUAUUGGAUUAGGGCCUCAUUCUUAAGCCCUCAUUUAACCGUAAUUACCUCCUCACUGGCUUUAUCUCCAAAUGCAGUCACAUGGAAGGCUAGGCCUUCAACAAAUGAAUUUGGGGGUGAGGAGAGACACAAUUCAGUCUAUAAUAAACAGUUACUGUGCUGUGAGACUUUGUUAUUACAAAUGUCACCAUGAUUACUAAGACCAUAUCUCUGUCCUUAGAAUUUAUGAUUCACUUGAGUCAUGAAAGAUUUACAUAAAGUAAUACUACCAUCAAGUCAGCUAUAGAAACUCCAAUUAUAAAAGAUAAACCAGCUAAAAGCAAGCAGGGAAUUUUGUUUGCCACUUCAUCCUUUAAGUCAUCCUUGGCAAAAAGCAGGGGAGAUAUAGAUAUGCCUAAAAUACAUUUGGAAGCUCCAGAGAAGAAAAAAAAUCUUUCCAACCAGGACAUGAAACAAGGAAAGCAUUUGGCCUUGAUAUCUUCGCAGAAUAUUAGCAGGGCAAGACGGAAGAGUGUGUCCAAGAGAAGAUACCAUGAAAGUCCUGGGAUAAGGUGUGCCUGAGGCAGAAGCAGAGGCUGCAGAGAGGGGGGCCAAGGUCAUUGUCAGGCCAUAGGGGAGUGUUACUGCUGAGGUAAGAUGCCAGGACUUCAUGCCAUGGACGAGCUGUUCCCCUGACCUCCAGAUGAAAGAGCCUUAUUGGCCAGAAGUCACAUGGUGUAGCAGAAAGUGCACUAGACCCUGUGCUAGCUGCAUUUUCUUCUUCUUUUAUAUACUUGUAUUAGUUAUCUGUUGCUGCAUAACAGAUUUCCCCCCACACACAGCUUCCGUUUCCAAGGCCACUCAUUUAGGUAUCGGCAGGGUUCAAGUCGUUAAACGUUGUUAGACUGAGAAACCUCAGUUCUGAGUCACAUGAGCCUGUCCCAAGGGCAGUUUACAGCAUGACAACUUGCUUGUUUAGCGCAAACACCCAAGAAGAGCCAGUGACAAAGGACAAGCCAGACGGAAGUCACAGGAUUUUAUAGCUAAUCUUGGAUGUGACAUCCCACAUCAUCUUGCCAUAGUCGGCUUGUUAGAAGUGAGCCACCAAGGUCAUCCCAAACACAAGAGAGGAUUCCACAGGGCGUGACCACCAGUGGUAAUCAGGAGCCUUGUCAGAAGGUACCUGCCCUGCAUUCUCUGGGGUGGCCUAUUAGAAUCUUGGGGUGCAAUCACUAUGUUUAACAAGAAGGAGUAGAAGCUGGAAGCUGCUGGACUACACCAAGAGAAGUGAUACACUUCUGAUUUUCUUCAAGAAUUCUUCCCUCGGGCAUGGUGGCUCCAUGGCUGAGCAAUGGACUAUCUCUGUAUCUCCUUCUCCCAUCUUGAUGUACCUUGAGAUGCCCAAGCCUUUCCCUGGAAUCUAAGACUAGGCAGAGAAUGCCCCCAUCUGGAGACUUGGAAGCCCUGAAGACCUAGCGUCACGUUUGAAUUUCCCUCUGUACCCACAGUGCCAGGACAGUGAUGGAUGCAUGUUGGUGGUUAUCAUUGUUUUCUGGAUAAAUCAAUCUGUGAGUGGCCUUCCUCUAGACGCCUGGUGUUGUGGAAAGAGUCCAGACUUUGGAGUGGGGCAGAGAGACCUGGGAUGGAUGCAAAUCUGCCCACGCCUCUGCACUUCUGUGACCCCCCCCAGGGCCCUCCGUCUGGGCUUGAGUGAAAGGGGCUGCAUCUUGUCAUCCCGUCUUCAAAUGCCUCUUGGAUGUUUCUAAAUGAUUACUUUUUAUGUCCACAUUUCACAACUAAAAUGAUUUCAUUGUGUUCUGAAAAUCUACUUAAUUGAAUGUUCUCUUUGUCAACCCAAUAAACUGCUAGUUUUGCAAUAAGAUUCCCCUGGCUCCUUUCCUGGGAGGUUUUAGUGUGAGACAUUCACUCAUGUAACUAGAAAUAUAGCAACAAAUGCCUGUCAAAGCUUGGUUCUGUUGAUAGUCCACU